CAGCCGCCGCGGUAAUACAGAGGGUGCGAGCGUUAAUCGGAAUUACUGGGCGUAAAGCGCGCGUAGACGGUUUUGUAAGUCAGAUGUGAAAUCCCUGGGCUCAACCUGGGAACUGCAUUUGAGACUGCAUGGCUAGAGUAUCGAAGAGGGAAGUGGAAUUUCCGGUGUAGCGGUGAAAUGCGUAGAUAUCGGAAGGAACACCAGUGGCGAAAGCGACUUCCUGGUCGAAUACUGACGUUCAUGUGCGAAAGCGUGGGGAGCAAACAGGAUUAGAUACCCCUGUAGUCCCUGUCUCUUAUAC
rnacentral:rRNA from 1 species